rnacentral:rRNA from 1 species
UAGGGAAUCUUCGGCAAUGGACGAAAGUCUGACCGAGCAACGCCGCGUGAGUGAAGAAGGUUUUCGGAUCGUAAAACUCUGUUGUUAGAGAAGAACAAGGACGUUAGUAACUGAACGUCCCCUGACGGUAUCUAACCAGAAAGCCACGGCUAACUACGUGCCAGCAGCCGCGGUAAGACGUAGGUGGCAAGCGUUGUCCGGAUUUAUUGGGCGUAAAGCGAGCGCAGGCGGUUUCUUAAGUCUGAUGUGAAAGCCCCCGGCUCAACCGGGGAGGGUCAUUGGAAACUGGGAGACUUGAGUGCAGAAGAGGAAAGUGGAAUUCCAGGUGUAGCGGUGAAAUGCGUAGAUAUAUGGAGGAACCCCAGUGGCGAAGGCGGCUCUCUGGUCUGUAACUGACGCUGAGGCUCGAAAGCGUGGGGAGCAAACAGG